AUACGAAAGGUGCAAGCGUUGUUCGGAUUUACGGGGCGUAAAGAGGGUGUAGGUUGUUUAUUAAGUCGGAUGUGAAAUCCCGGGGCUCAACCUCGGAACUGCAUUCGAUACUGAUAGGCUAGAGUUUGGGAGGGGUAAGCGGAAUUCCGUGUGUAGCAGUGAAAUGCGUAGAUAUACGGAGGAACACCUGAGGCGAAGGCGGCUUACUGGACCAAUACUGACACUGAGACUCGAAAGCGUGGGUAGCAAACAGGAUUAGAAACCCCGGUAGUCC
rnacentral:rRNA from 1 species